rnacentral:lncRNA from 1 species
GCUGGGGGCUUCAUGACCCCACGCCACGCGGCGUCCCAACCGUGGAGGUGCCUCCUGACCCGACCUGCAGCCAAACCACACGCGACCCUUUCGCCCGUUUCCUUCGAAGAACCCGUGUUUCCGCUUUCCAGAACCUCUAAGAGCACCCACCUUGGUCCCGGGGCCCUGUAAGCCUCACUCACCGGCCGCCUCCGGCCGAGUACCCCCGACACACCCCGGGCGGGUCCCGCACUUGGAGCGGAACCUGAGUGCGCUGGGCUUGGGGAAGUCGGAAGGAUUAAAGAGAAACCCAUGCGUCGAACCGCUGCUCCAACGCCCAUCAGGUUCCCUAAGAUCACAGGCACUCUUCCACUCAGACUGCUGCUGAUCAUGCUCUGCUCGGUAUGCGGGACCAGUCAUUGUCUGGGCAGUCGCCUGGACCUAAGUCUCCUGACGCGGACGACCAGUUGCAAAACAGAGACCACACUGAGACUGAGCAACGUAUCAGCAGCGGUCGCAGCUCUGCGCUUGCGCCUGAGAGCCAGCUACAGCAGGGCUGUGCUGGGAUUCACUUUCGUGGAAGGUUUUGCAAAGCCCCUCCCCUGGUAUGCGAGAGGCUGAGAGGUUGGCGCUAGAGGCAAGAGGAAGGGGGUCUGCGAGAGGUGCCGAAGACCACCUUAAUACACUGCAAAGUAUAGCCUAGACCGGUGGUUCACAGAGUUUUAAAUAGCGUACACAAAUAAAUCACCAAGUGAGCUUGUUAAAAUACAGCUUCACAAGAUUUACACUCCGAGAUUGACUCGUUGGCCCGGAACAUUGCAUUUUCAAGGGGCACCCCAGAUGAUUCUGAUGCAAGUGGUCUCUCCAGCCUGUCUGGAGAAACUGGCUCCGUUGCACAAUCUAGUUGCUUAAAUACUGUUAAAUGCAAGACAUGUCUCAAAUUUCACCAAAAGAAAAAAAUGAAUAAAAUCAGGACACUA